rnacentral:tRNA from 1 species
GGGGUCGUAGCUCAACUUGGUUAGAGUACCGGACUGUCGAUCCGGGUGUUGCGGGUUCAAGUCCCGUCGACCCCG